CCUACGGGGGGCAGCAGUGGGGGAUAUUGGACAAUGGGGGAAACCCUGAUCCAGCGACGCCGCGUGAGUGAAGAAGUAUUUCGGUAUGUAAAGCUCUGUCAGCAGGGAAGAAAGAAAUGACGGUACCUGACCAAUAAGCCCCGGCUAACUACGUGCCAGCAGCCGCGGUAAUACGUAGGGGGCAAGCGUUAUCCGGAUUUACUGGGUGUAAAGGGAGCGUAGACGGUGAUGCAAGUCUGGAGUGAAAGGUGGGGGCCCAACCCCCGGACUGCAGUGGAAACUGUGUAACUUGAGUGCAGGAGAGGUAAGCGGAAUUCGUGGUGUAGCGGUGAAAUGCGUAGAUAUUAGGAGGAACACCAGUGGCGAAGGCGGCUUACUGGACCGUAACUGACGUUGAGGCACGAAAGCGUGGGGAGCGAACAGGAUUAGAUACCCGUGUAGUC
rnacentral:rRNA from 1 species